UAAAUAUUUGUACAAAUAGAUAAGUAAAUUUGAGUUAAUCUUCUUUUGUUGAUUUCACAAAUUAAUUCAUUGAUUAUUUUCUGAGAAGUACACCAAAUCUUACAUCUGGUUUAAUUACGACAAAAAUCUUUGUUUACUGUAUAGUGAAAAGAAGCACGUGUGAUUAUUGUAUACUUUAAUUUAUGAAAUAAGUGAUUAAUUUUUUUUAUUUUUUGACAAUGGACACGUUUGAAUUAACUAUUUGGAAAGGUGAUUGGGGUUUACCGUCAGUUGACACGGAAUGUUUGCAGAUUUUGGUUUAUGCCAAAUUUAAUAAUAUACCUUUGAAAAUUAAUGCAACUAGUAAUCCAUUUAAUGGCAACUUACCUAUACUAAAAACUAAUGAUGGUACAUUUAAUGAAACCAAGGAUAUAAUAGAAUAUUUUAGAGGAAAGAAUUAUAAUACAGAACAGAAUUUAAGUCGAAAAGAAUGUGCAAAAAUUAUGGCUUAUGAUACAAUGUUGAAAGAAAAAUUAUUCCCAGCAUUGCAAUUCAUUUGGUGGAUAGAUGAGAAAAAUGUGAAUGAAUUAAUAAGACCAUGGUAUUGUAAAACACUGCCCUUUCCAUUAAAUUUUUACUAUCCAGGAAAAUUUGAACGACAAGCUCGAGCUAUGCUUGAAACUUUGUAUCCUGUAGAAGAUAAUAUAAGCAUCAUAGAAAAUAAGGUUUACUCUGAAGCACAGAAAUGUUUGACACUGUUAUCCACAAGUCUUGGGGAUUCAGUAUAUUUUCUGGGUGAAGAACCUACUCUAUUGGAUGCUAUUGUAUAUUCUUACUUAGCACCAUUGCUCAAAGCUCCUUUACCAAAUCCAGCAUUACAAAACCAUUUAAAAGCCUGCACAAACCUAAUGUCGUAUACAUCCCGCAUAUCGGAAAGAUAUUUUUCGAACGAAUGUUCCGAAUAUAAAACCAAAGAAAGUGCUCAAAGUAUAAAAAAAUAUGCACAAAAUGAAUUUCCUAACAAGAGACGAAAUCAGUUCUUUGCUGGAUUUUUUGCUACUUUGGUGAUGGCAACUUACGCAUUUUCAACUGGAAUAUUAGAGAUAUUUGUGUUUUAGCGGUAAUGAUUUGCAUAAUACAGUAAGUAUGUAUAGUUUCCGUAUUGUCGUAGAUCGUUAAUGAAUUAUAAUUUAUAAACAAUUUUUAUUUAUGACGAAAUUUUACGCUACCUAUUUUUUUUCGUAUAUGUUUCUUCAAACAAAGAUUAGUGUUUACUUCUAAAACGUGAUUGUAAUACACUAAUUAUGUAUAGCUAAGGGUUAGCUAUAGGGGUGGCCAUACAUGUGGUAUUCGUCAUAAUGACGGUCAUUAUUUCCUAAACAUUACCGAUAAUCUGACAGAAAAAUUUUCUUAAGAAAAAUUACUUAACGUUGAAUCGACACAAUCAAUAGAUCGAAUAUAACAAAUUCUAAAAAGCGCUUUUUCAAUGAAAAAGUCAGACGCACUCACUUUUUUAAAUAACACGAUAUAAUUUUUUAUAGCCAGUGUUGUAAAUUUCAUCUAGUGGACCACUUAUUGAUAAAUAAAGAUAAAUGCAUAUACAUAUAUAAAAUAAGUAAUAUAUCUACAGCAUUUAUUUUAUUGAAAACGAAAGUAUAAGAAAGUGCCGACCAUAAUACACAGUGACGACGAAUAUAAUAAGCGCUAAUAAUAGUCAGAAGGUUAACUAUAAUUACAAUAAUUACUGCACCAAUUUCACAUGACUUUCAGAUCUAACGCGUCAAUAGUAUAUAUGUUUAUACAGUAUGACUUACAUUUACGAAACUAUGAAAGUAAUUCUUAGGAGCAAUAUGCGCUGAGAGAGUGGAAUAUACUUAGGUAUAUUUUAAUAAUAUAGUGGUACAUACGCAUCCUGCACGGAACCAAAAUGCACGUUUAGACUAGCGUAUCUUCUUCAUAUGGUUGACUCAUGGCAUAAUAUGCAAGUACAUAUAUCGCAUUAGUUCGUAUAAGAUCAUAGUCUAUUUCGUAAUUAAAAUUAUGAAAUUCUAGGGUAUAAAAGGAGCGGCAUUUUGAAAUUCCUAAAAUUAAUAUAGAACAUUGCGUUCGGAUUCACGUACAUUUUGAAUCAUUUCGCACUUUGUAUCGUGUCAGUCAUUAUAAUCUAUGGGUUGCAUUCCCUUUCAAACAUACUGUCGAAUCAUCGUAUUCGGAUAUUCAUCUGAAGUUAUUAGGCGGUUAACCAAUGGAUAUUUCGUAUUGAUACAUCUUUGUUGCUCAAGGUACCGGUAAAGAAGGAUGAAAUUGCAAACGUACCUGUUGAAGAUGCUCUUACCUAUGAUGAAUAAAAUGAAGAAAUUGGGAAAAUAACUUCAUUGGAAACAAGUUUUACUUAACAUUAAUAUAAUUUCCUAUUUUUUUUUAUACUACAAUUUGUUUUUAAUAUUGUUAUUAGUGGAAUAUGAUUGUAACCAUUAUAAAUAAUCCCAAAUUAUAUAAAUAAAUAAUUAAAACCAAA